rnacentral:lncRNA from 12 species
UAUUAAGUAAGUUUAUAUUUUUUAAUUGAAGUCCUUUUCUUUCUAUAGAAAAGCUCCAUCAUUGUAUUAUCUGUCUCAUAGCACAGUACGCUUUGUGUUGGCUGAUUGUUCAUUGUGGCUUGAUGAAAAAUGCCUUCACAAUUUUAAUUUGCUUGAAUUAUUCUAUUACUAUGAAUAGACAGUCUGGAGAGAAAUAAUGAUUUGUCUCCCAUUAGGAGAAAUGUGUUUCACAUCACAAAUUUAAAUUAUCUGUUGAACUUCUUUUCAGGAAUGGCCUUUAAAAAAAAUAUGGUGAUACCAAGAGUACAGUAAGUUUUUCUAAGCCAACAAGACAGAGGAUUUGGAAUAUAGAUGAUUAUCCUUUCAGAGAAAGAGAAAACAAGUAGCAAAGCUGUGUUUUAGCCAGUUUGCCUUGCUAGAAGGAAGGAGCUUGACCUUACACACAGAAGCAGCCCUGCAGAGACAUGUGCCACACAGCAAAGGAGUCUCGCCAAGGUACAGUUCAAAUGUGGCAUCUGAUCGUGAGGUCACUGAGAGACAGAGAAAGAUUGCAAAUUUUUAGUGCUUGGAAGACUCUUCCUUUGACCUUUUAUAUAGAAGCAAGCUAUAGAUGUAUGGCUACACCACCCCAGGUAGGUCACUAAUGGGUGUCCCUGUGAUUUGUUCAAACCAUUAAAGUAUCUCUUUAUUAAUGGGGGGGGGGGGCAACUGCAAUAUAACACACACCCAGACAGAAUAAACUGUAUUCUGGCAGCA